UGGGGAAUAUUGGACAAUGGGCGAAAGCCUGAUCCAGCCAUGCCGCGUGUGUGAAGAAGGUCUUCGGAUUGUAAAGCACUUUAAGUUGGGAGGAAGGGCAUUAACCUAAUACGUUAGUGUUUUGACGUUACCGACAGAAUAAGCACCGGCUAACUCUGUGCCAGCAGCCGCGGUAAUACAGAGGGUGCAAGCGUUAAUCGGAAUUACUGGGCGUAAAGCGCGCGUAGGUGGUUUGUUAAGUUGGAUGUGAAAGCCCCGGGCUUAACCUGGGAACUGCAUUCAAAACUGACUGACUAGCGUAUGGUAGAGGGUGGUGGAAUUUCCUGUGUAGCGGUGAAAUGCGUAGAUAUAGGAAUGAACACCAGUGGCGAAGGCGACCACCUGGACUAAUACUGACACUGAGGUGCGAAAGCGUGGGGAGCAAACA
rnacentral:rRNA from 1 species